AAUUGAUUCAUUAUUGAGUGAGGCGCGGCCCCCGCUCGGCUUCCAGUCCACGUCUACUCACUCCGCUACUGAGCAUCCAUUAUUGACGUUUAGGCCGGCCCACUCACUGGGCUUGAAGAAUAGAGAGCUGCCAAGUCUCCCUCGCGCAAAAUGUAAUUCACAGUCUACAAUUCUGUGUCUGAAAAAAAAAAAUACCCACAACAACUAUCGACCACAGCAACAAGACGAGAGCCCGGCGAAGGCGCUAGCCAGGCUGAGGGGGAAAAUAGCACAAUGUGAAUGUGUUUUACAGGCUUGUCUUUAUGCUUUUACCAACAACACCUGCUAAAAUUAACACAGCGGGACAACAGAGGACGUGGGGAUUUACGUCUAUUGUGAGCGUCGGGAGAGGCGGCGGCAGCGGCGCACUUCUGAUGCUUCCCCUGGAUGCCAGACCUCCUCAGAGGGUCAGCAGAGCCACGCCGGGGGGCCUCCGGGCACCGACAUGCGCUGGAGGAGCCCAUCGAGCCCGGACGAUGGGAGCCAACGCCGUCGCCGUCGCCGUGCCGACGCCGACAGAGAUCCGCUCAACUUGGAGAGCCGACAGCGCCGCCAUAGGAGAUCCGAAGCUGCGUUUAAUAAUUGAUUCAUUAAUCAUCUAUAAGUCCAUUAAAUCAGAGGCUUCCUCUGGAAUUCUAAUCGCCCAGCCCCGGCAACGAUAAAGGCGCAGUAGGGCGGCCUUAUCUUUGUGAUUGCCUCUUCUU
ensembl:lncRNA